UACGGAGGGUGCAAGCGUUGCUCGGAAUUAUUGGGCGUAAAGGGCAGGUAGGUGGUCUCAUUUGUCCGGGGUGAAAUCCUUGAGCUUAACUCAAGAAGUGCCCCGGAGACGGUGAGACUAGAGUUUUGGAGAGGGUCGUGGAAUUCCCGGUGUAGCGGUGAAAUGCGUAGAGAUCGGGAGGAACACCAGAGGCGAAAGCGGCGACCUGGACAAUGACUGGCACUCAACUGCGAAAGCGUGUGGAGCAAACAGG
rnacentral:rRNA from 1 species